GAGCUGCAACCCCCAAAGUACAGGAAGAUUUGAAUGGAAGAGGGUCAAGGUCAGAUUUAUCCACCACAGAGUCUUUGUUGUUGAGCUCUGCGCUAGGGGAGCCCAGGGAGGAAACCGUUGUGGGAGGGAGCAGGAAGUGGAAGAAGUCAUCAUGAACAUACCCAGCGGGUAACGGCAGUUGAAGAGUGAACUCAGUCGGCGGAAGAUGGAGGCAUGGGGGUCGAACAGAGUGAAGAAGGAUGUGUGUACGGGAGACCUAGGAGGAUCUUGAGGGCUCGGGAACCCAUGCCUGAGCCUCUUGUCAGGCCUAAGUCACUAAGAGAGAAGGGAUUGGAGUUUAAUGCUUCCACACAGGGCUUUGGAAUCAGACCCAGUGGAAUCCGCCCUUCUGUCUUCCCUUGACUUGCAAUGGCUAGAACAAGAUGCCUAAGAACUCUGAGGAAAGCUGGCUCAGACACUCCCUGGGAGGCCUUUCAGCAGCAUGAGAAUAAAGGAUAAGCAAGAGCAGGCCUUUUGUCUUGGGCAACUGUCCUAGCCAAGUCACCAGGUAAGUCACUUUUCUAUCUCUCUGGAUCUCUCUUCUCUCCUUUGUAAAACACUAGAUCAAGGGUUGAUCAAGGGGGCUUUGUACAAAGGUCCCAGUAGUGGACAUUUUAGGUUUUGCAGAAAGUGUGGUCUCUAUUGUAUUUCUCUGUUCAGCUCCAUCUGUGAUGCAUAAUAAGAAAGCAGGGUGUGCUGGCUGGUCUUAUGUCAAUUUGAAACAUGCUAGAGUCAUCUGAAAAGAGGGGCCUCAGUUCAGAAUAUGCUCUACAUGACCCAACUGUAAGGCAUUUUUUUAAUUAGUGACUGAUGGGGGAAGGGCUCAGCCUGUUAUGGGUGAUGUCAUCCCUGGGCUGGUGGUCCUGGGUUCUACAAGAAAGCAGACUGAACAAGCCAUAAGGACCAAUCCAGUAAGCAGCAUCCCUCCAUGGCCUCUGCAUCAGUUCCUGCCUCCAGGUUCCUGCCCUGUUUUAGUUUCUGCUCUGACUUCCUUCAAAUGCUAAAGAUUCACAUAUUUUUGGAAGUUUAUGAAAAAUCUUAAUUUUUAUGUUGCUCUUGACAGAAGAAAACCAGAUGUGGUGAUUCAUGCCUAUAAUCCCAACACUCAGGAGAUCGGGGCAGGAGGAUUGCUGUGGCUUCCAGGCCAGCAGAGGUUAUGAAGACAGCCUCAAUAAAUCAAUUCAAUAAAGUCAGAAAGAAAAAGGAAAUGAUAAUAAAUUGUCCAAGUUUAUCUUUCUACCAAUAAAGUCAUAAGAUAUUUGUA